rnacentral:pre_miRNA from 1 species
UUAACUCAAAUUUGUACGGAGUUGGAACGUUUGACUACGUUUGCCGCUAGAGGCGCUGUUCGAACUGCAUAUUAAUUUGAGUUA